AAAGUUUUCUUUUGGCUGAAUAAUUUAUUAUUUUUAUAUUUUAUAUGUGAGUUGUUGCGGGAAGUAUUUUUAUUUUUAAUAAAUAAGAAUUGAUUUUUAAUCGCAGUAUUUAAAAUUAAUAAUUAAAGAAAUUUAGAAUUAGUAAUAGAUAAUAGUAUGGGUUAAUUUUGUGCCAGCAUCCGCGGUUAUACAAAAUAUACAAAUGAAUUUUAUUAUUAUGUAGUUAAUUGAUUUAUUAUAAAUAAGAUUAUAAAUUUUAAGGUGAAAUUUAAAUUUAUUUAAUAUUUAUAAGAAGAUUAUUAUGAAGCUAUUAAAAUUUAUUAAUAAACUAGGAUUAGAUACCCUAUUAUUUAAAAUGUAAAGUUGUAAUUAUUUGGUAGUAGUAGUUAAAGUCUUGAAACUAAAAAAAUUUGGCGGUAUUUUAAUCUAAUUAGAGGAAUCUGUUCCAUAAUCGAUAGUCCACGAGAGAUUUUACAUAAUUUUAUUUAAUUUGUAUAUCGUCGUUAUAAGGAAAUUUUAUAAGAAUUAUAAUUUUCUAGAAUUUAUAUUAUAAUAUAUUUCAGAUCAAGGUGCAAUAUAUAAUUAUGAGGAGAUGGAUUACAAUAAAUGAAUUUAUAUGGAUAAUAAGUUGAAAUAUUUAUUUGAAGGUGGAUUUAAUAGUAAUUUAAAUUAGUUGAUUUAAAUGAUUAUAGUUCUAAAAUAUGUACAUAUCGCCCGUCGCUCUCUUUAUUAAAAAGAGAUAAGUCGUAACAAAGUAGGUGUACUGGAAAGUGUACCUAGAAUGAU
rnacentral:ncRNA from 1 species